AGGCAGUUGUGCUGGACCUUCUGUACUUUAUACAGGAGAUGACAGUAAACUUUCAAGUUUAAGAGGUGUGUUGGUGUAAAAAGUGAUGCUGACUGAACUCAGGCAG